GGGAGGUGGGAGCAAGUACCAAAAAAGUACCAAAAAAGACCGGGUGAGGUGGGACGAAAAUAAAACCCGGAACGCGACCUACCAACUGAGACAUUAGGAGUAGAGAUUCUACACUAAUAUAGCAAGGCAAAGCCUAAUCUUUACUCUGGGUCACUGAUAGAAGUACUGGUGUAUACUCAUCGAAGGUACACAAUGAACUUUUUGUUCUUCUUAUUCUUAUGGGAACUUAUUGUACUUUUUGUUGUGAUAUACGCCCAUCUCGAAUUUCAUUUUAGGUCUACUUAUUUUAGCUCUAGGUGUUGAUAGUAAGAAACACUUGCAAAUAUAUGUCUCUUGUGUAUAUAAAUAUAUGCUCGCUCUACAAUAUAAUGUAGAUAAUGAUAACAGUAAUUUAAUUUGCUAUUUAGUGUACAAUAUUUGUAUUCAUAAGAGGAGAUAGUUAUACAAUUCAUUGCGGUUUUAUAUCUGAGUUAAGAAAAAAAAAUAGUCUUCCUCUGAGGUAUGUUACCUUGCUGAGGCUGCUCUGCUUUUGCUCUAUUUGCUGCUCUUUUGUGCUAUACUACUAUUCCAUGUAUAGAGAGAUCGGAGAAGAGAACAACAGCCUGUUACUACCGAUUUUUCAUGCUGCUACUCGCUUACUGUUACACAUCUACAUACAGAAGGCUGCUGCUUGCUGAUUACAAUCCAUUCAUGAUAUGUAGAUAUGUAUGCUUCUGCUGGGUACAUGUGAACAAAGAGACAAGGAAUGGAAGCUGUAGCGGUAGUCGGACGGUGGCCACGCAUUGGCAAUCACUGUUUAUAUACGUGACUCCAGCCACCUAUGUUUGUGAAUGGCAAGAAGAUGCUUAUUCUCCAUGGUGCAAGGACUAGCGCAGAUUACCCCUUCAUAUCAUUACCCAUUUAUUUUGUGGUCUGACGAACACUGCCAAAAAUAAAUAUGGAUUUGAUUUGAUUCGUA